AAAAAGUAAUAAUAAUAAUAAAUGUUAUUAUUAUUAUUUUAAUUUUUGAAUUUUUUUUACUCAGUCUCAAAUUACUGUUGAAAGGUAGAAUCGUAAAAUAUAGAAGGUGCAAGCUCGAAAUGUGAUCGUGCAUCAGCAGUUUAUCUCUUGUUUUGUCAGUCACUGAAAGUCACUCAAUUAGCACAUUUUUGGAUUGGUAAGUUAGUCUAGACGGUUAUCUAAACAUGUUGCAAUCUUUAACACCUGUUUAGAAUUUUAAACAUCAACCUAUAGUCUUGUUCAUGCCGUAAACUCUACUUAUACUCCUGUGCUUGAUGUGUUUUUAGAAUUGCCAUUGUACUGGGAUGAUAUGACCGUUGGUGAAAAGCUGAAGAAACUGCAGCUCUUGCCUAACUAACCAGAAUACCAGAAAGUUACACAGGGAUUCCAAAGCACCACAGCAGCACAACAAUUCAUCAUCCACAAUGCGUACGCAUUGAGUGAACUCCGGGCCGAGAGUGGACCAGGUGAGAUGGAGAAAAGAAACUACCACGGGACAGCAGCAACCACCUGUGAUGCCAUUGAAAGGAAUUAAUUCAACAGGAUUAGUGGUAUUGCUAAUUAGUGGUAUUGCUAUUAAAAUACAUUACUUUCCAAUGCCAUGAGCAGUGUGUUGGUUAUGGUGAUGAACAGAGUAAUGUCUAUUUUUUAAAAUAAUUUAUAGCACAAGGUUUACAUUUUAUAUUGAACUUUAUUCAUUUAUUAACAGACUCUGGCUCAACACUUUUUCUUGCUUUGUUUAGCAGCAACAUAUGGACUGGGUGUGUAUUUUUCUGUGAAUGCAAGCUAUUCAGCCAAUCCCACAUACCCCUACUGAUGGUGCUGGCCACAGUUGUAUGUACGUGGCACGUGUCCUGAGUUACCCAGGGCGCUAUACCCUGGGUAACUCCACCAUGAUGUUUACCCCUCCUCGCUCCACCACAGACCCCACUGACUGCUAUGACAGUCUAGUGAACAACCAGCAGAAAUGAUGACCAAACCAGAGUACCUCAUCAUGUUCAGCUAAUAGUGACCCUUUAUUAUCAUUUAUAAACAUUUAUAAGCUUUUUUAGAGGCCUAGUUAUAAACAAGUGUUACCAUGUGCCUAAUUUUAUGUGAGUAUAAUUCUCACUUCUAUUGUUAUCAUCAGCUGUCAAAAUCAUUAUCAUCGGUGCUUUCAGAAAGCAUUGACUUUUUCUACACUUUGUUGUGUUAGAAAGUGGGAUUAAAAUGUAUUUAAUUGUCAUUUUUGUCAACAAGCUACACAAAACUUUAAUGUCAAAUUGAAAGAAAA
ensembl:lncRNA